ACGGCGAGUGAAGCGGCAACAGCUCAAAUUUGAAAUCUGGCUCUCGGGCCCGAGUUGUAAUUUGUAGAGGAUGCUUUUGAUGCGGUGCCUUCCGAGUUCCCUGGAACGGGACGCCAUAGAGGGUGAGAGCCCCGUCUGGUUGGAUGCCAAAUCUCUGUAAAGCUCCUUCGACGAGUCGAGUAGUUUGGGAAUGCUGCUCUAAAUGGGAGGUAUAUGUCUUCUAAAGCUAAAUACCGGCCAGAGACCGAUAGCGCACAAGUAGAGUGAUCGAAAGAUGAAAAGCACUUUGAAAAGAGAGUUAAAAAGUACGUGAAAUUGUUGAAAGGGAAGCGUUUAUGACCAGACUUGGGCUUGGUUAAUCAUCUGGGGUUCUCCCCAGUGCACUUUUCCAGUCCAGGCCAGCAUCAGUUUUCGCCGGGGGAUAAAGGCUUCGGGAAUGUGGCUCUCUCCGGGGAGUGUUAUAGCCCGUUGCGUAAUACCCUGGCGGGGACUGAGGUUCGCGCAUCUGCAAGGAUGCUGGCGUAAUGGUCAUCAACGACCCGUCUUGAAACACGGACCAAGGAGUCGUCUUCGUAUGCGAGUGUUCGGGUGUCAAACCCCUACGCGUAAUGAAAGUGAACGCAGGUGAGAGCUUCGGCGCAUCAUCGACCGAUCCUGAUGUUCUCGGAUGGAUUUGAGUAAGAGCAUACGGGGCCGGACCCGAAAGAAGGUGAACUAUGCCUGUGUAGGGUGAAGCCAGAGGAAACUCUGGUGGAGGCUCGCAGCGGUUCUGACGUGCAAAUCGAUCGUCAAACAUGGGCAUGGGGGCGAAAGACUAAUCGAACCUUCUAGUAGCUGG
rnacentral:rRNA from 1 species